GGGCCCGCACAAGCGGUGGAGUAUGUGGUUUAAUUCGAUGCAACGCGAAGAACCUUACCAGGACUUGACAUUUCGGGAAUCCCUUUGAAAGGAGGGAGUGCCGAAAGGAGCCCGAAAACAGGUGCUGCAUGGCUGUCGUCAGCUCGUGUCGUGAGAUGUUGGGUUAAGUCCCGCAACGAGCGCAACCCUCGUCGUUAGUUGCCAUCAUUAAGUUGGGAACUCUAGCGAGACUGCCGGUGACAAACCGGAGGAAGGUGAGGAUGACGUCAAGUCAGCAUGGCCCUUACGUCCUGGGCGACACACGUACUACAAUGCUAAGGACAGAGAGCAGCCAACCCGCGAGGGUGAGCGAA
rnacentral:rRNA from 1 species